rnacentral:rRNA from 1 species
GAUGAACGCUAGCGACAGGCUUAACACAUGCAAGUCGAGGGGCAGCACGGUGUAGCAAUACACUGGUGGCGACCGGCGCACGGGUGAGUAACACGUGUGCAACCAACCCCGUACCGGGAGAUAACCCGCGGAAACGUGGACUAACAUCCCAUAACACUCUAGAGCCGCAUGGUUCUGGAUUUAAAACCCCGGUGGUACGGGACGGGCACGCGCGACAUUAGGUAGUUGGCGGGGUAACGGCCCACCAAGCCGACGAUGUCUAGGGGUUCUGAGAGGAAGGUCCCCCACACUGGAACUGAGACACGGUCCAGACUCCUACGGGAGGCAGCAGUGAGGAAUAUUGGUCAAUGGGCGCGAGCCUGAACCAGCCAAGUCGCGUGAGGGAUGAAUGGUCCAUGGCCUGUAAACCUCUUUUGUCAAGGAAGAAUAAAAGGUACGUGUACCUUCUUGCCAGUACUUGACGAAUAAGCAU